rnacentral:rRNA from 1 species
GCGAUUCCCUAAGUAGUGGCGAGCGAAAAGGGAACAGCCCAGGCGCAUAAUCUCCCGGGCUACCAAGCCCGCGGCGAAAUGUUGCGUAUAGGGAAGGGUCGAUUACAGCCUCGCGCACCCGUCUGAUGUGCCUAAUCGCGUCCUGAAAUGUUCGCGCAAGUUGGGCAUUUUAUCUUUCGGGGUAAACGCUCAACAAACGGUUCCAUGGAGGGUGCAAGCCCCGUAUGGCCGCGUGUGAGUGUGCGAAGGCUAGGCCUCUUUUCCCUGAGAGUCGCGUUGCUUGAACUUGCAGCGCUAAGCAGGAGGUAAACUCCUCCUAAGGCUAAAUAUAUCCACAGAACCGAUAGCUAACAAGUACCGCGAGGGAAAGUUGAAAAGCACUCUGGAGAGAGGGUGACAAGACCGUGAGACCGUCCAGGGUAAAAGCCGAUGUCGAUAUCCUAGUUGCGCUGGGACCAGGCUUCGGCCUGAAGCAGAUCAUGCGUCUCGUGUACCGAUUCGUCGGUGUGCGUGCGUGUAAUGUGUUUUGCUUAACGUCCAUUAACAGCCCGUCGCGACUCUUGUGAGGUCACUCGCGGUAAUUGAGCGUCUGUCUGCGUUCGUGAAGGGCAGAAGCUGUCGGAGGUCGUGUAUGCCGGUAGGCCUAGUAGCGUUCACGCGUGAAGAGCUCCCGGUGUGCGCGGCGGUACAAUAUACCUCCAUAGCUAAUGUCUGGGCGUAUGGUGGGCGAUUUCGUUGCCAAUGCGUUUAAGAUCCUCUGCGAGAAGUUGUGUUGACUCACCGUGUACUAGCGAAUGAUCCCAAAGCUUCGUGCUGAUGAAGGUUGUUUAAGUUGGUGCAGGUAGUUCCGACGGUACGCCUAGGUGACAUCGGUCACGUCUCGAAACACGGGCCAAGGAGCAUAGCGUAAAGCCAAGUCAGACGGUUUCUCGAAACCUUGUGGCGAUAGUGAAAGCGAUCUAUCGGGCUUCGGUCCGUUUGUGUGUGUACUGAGAAUUCCGGGCAACCGAGAUUCGAGGUGCGCGCCGAUCUAGAAGGGCUGAUCCUCAUGUUCUUUAUUGAAUGGAGAGGCGCAAGCUCCAGGCCCGAUCGUAGUUCGGUAAGUUGACUUCGGUCUUCUUGCUGACAGACUGGGCACUGCUUAGGCUUUCCGCUAUGACCCGAAAGAUAGUGAACUAUGCUUGGCGAAGACGAAGCCCCAGGAAACUGUGGUGGAAGUCUGUAGCCGUUUUGACGUGCAAAUCAAUGGCGUCAGCUGAGCAUAGGGGCGAAAGACCAAUCGAACUAUCUAGUAGCUGGUUCCAUUCGAAGUUUCUCUCAGGAUAGCUUGCGUGACAGAAACGCUAUUAGUCAGAACUCUCGUACACGAAAGCGUGCGGGUGGUUCGUCCCCAACGGACAGUCGUUGUUGAGGGUUGACGUGCAAAAGAACUCAUUAUCUCACAUCUCUGUUGUCAGGGUAGCGUAUCAUUUAACCGUGAGCAGUUACGUCUGGUAAAGAGAAUGAGUAGAGUUAGCUCGUUGCUUUCAUAGCAGCGGCAGCGGGGCGUCCUACGCCUCGCACUAUUAUCAAACUUUAAAUGGGCGAGGUACUCGGCAUUAUCUUAACUGCUUGAUGCCGGGGCGAAACACGUCUUGGUUGUACAACGGAGUCGAUGGUGAAUGCGUGCGCGCAAAGUGGGUCCGUUCUGGUAAGCAGAACUGAUAAUGAGGGAUGAACCUAACGCAUGUGCUAAGGGGUCAAAGAGACAGCUAUUUCUCGAAACCAUUGGAAAGGUGUUGCUUGCUGAAGACAGCAGGACGGUGGUCAUGGAAGUCGAUACCCGCUAAGGAGUGUGUAACUACUCAUCCUGCCGAAGCGAGUAACCCUGAAAAUGGAUGACUCUAUAGCUCUCUCCCGAUGCACAGCUGUCAGUAGCACUUAGAGUCACUCCGUGUCUCCAAGCUCUGACAAGUAGAAUGGCGUGCUGCAAUGCGUUGACGACCUUCGCGUGAGCGUGGUCAGAGCUUGCAGCAGUGCAGAUCUUGGUGGUAGUAGCAAGUACUCUGGUGAAUAACCUUGAGCUGUGAGGCUGAUAAGGGUUCCAUGUCAACAGCGUUUGUACAUGGGUAAGUCGCUCCUAAGCCCCCAUUAUUCCUAAUGGUGAUUGCGAAUGCUCGAAGAGUGUACUUAAAUGGCAACGAGAGUCACUACUGUUGCUUGCAGGUUGCGAAAGGUCGUGCUAUACCAUCUUCGGAAGGGAAAAGCAUGUACACUUAGUAGUACCAAACUUGCUCGCUCUCCUGUGUCUCUCGCUGUGUAUUGCUCUCGCGUCGCUUGGCGAAAGGGAACUGCGGACUUAGUUCGUAGACCACACCUGGUACCCUGAGACGGUUCACCGUAUCACGGACCUAGCAAUAGUUGCCAGGCCAGUCGUUGUCAUAAGUUACUCGACGGGGAGAUGUCUUCUCUCUUUGAUAAAGCGUGAUUACCCUGAAAACACCUCGCGUGGCGGAAGGGUAAUGCUUUGCUUAGCAGAGUACUCUACUCCCCCGAGUAGUUCGACGUAACUUGUGAUCCGUGAAAAGGUGGUCGAGGGGUAAGCAAGGAUGGGUCUCUCUGUUGUGUGUGAGCGUGAUUUCGGUCGUCGCUCAUUCGCUUGAGGGUCUCUCCUGACACUUUACUCGAGUGUUAGCCAGGGCGUGGGCGUACCCAUAUCCGCAUCUGUCUCAAA